rnacentral:rRNA from 1 species
GAUGAACGCUGGCGGCGUGCCUAACACAUGCAAGUCGAGCGAUUUACUUCGGUAAAGAGCGGCGGACGGGUGAGUAACGCGUGGGUAACCUGCCCUGUACACACGGAUAACAUACCGAAAGGUAUGCUAAUACGAGAUAAUAUGCUUUUAUCGCAUGGUAGAAGUAUCAAAGCUUUGGCGGUACAGGAUGGACCCGCGUCUGAUUAGCUAGUUGGUGAGGUAACGGCUCACCAAGGCGACGAUCAGUAGCCGACCUGAGAGGGUGAUCGGCCACAUUGGAACUGAGACACGGUCCAAACUCCUACGGGAGGCAGCAGUGGGGAAUAUUGCACAAUGGGCGAAAGCCUGAUGCAGCAACGCCGCGUGAGCGAUGAAGGCCUUCGGGUCGUAAAGCUCUGUCCUCAAGGAAGAUAAUGACGGUACUUGAGGAGGAAGCCCCGGCUAACUACGUG